rnacentral:rRNA from 1 species
ACGGAAGGCAGCAGUGGGGGAUAUUGCACAAUGGGGGAAACCCUGAUGCAGCGACGCCGCGUGAGUGAUGAAGUAUUUCGGUAUGUAAAGCUCUAUCAGCAGGGAAGAAAAUGACGGUACCUGACUAAGAAGCUCCGGCUAAAUACGUGCCAGCAGCCGCGGUAAUACGUAUGGAGCAAGCGUUAUCCGGAUUUACUGGGUGUAAAGGGAGCGUAGACGGUGACGCAAGUCUGAAGUGAAAGGUGUGGGCUCAACCCGCAAACUGCUUUGGAAACUGUGUGACUAGAGUGUCGGAGAGGUAAGUGGAAUUCCUAGUGUAGCGGUGAAAUGCGUAGAUAUUAGGAGGAACACCAGUGGCGAAGGCGGCUUACUGGACGAUAACUGACGUUGAGGCUCGAAAGCGUGGGGAGCAAACAGGAUUAGAUACCCUGGUA